rnacentral:misc_RNA from 1 species
AACGCACAUUGCGCCCGCCGGUAUUCUGGCGGGCAUGCCUGUCCGAGCGUCAUUUCAACCCCUCGAGCCCCCGGGCCCGGUGUUGGGGAACGACCAGCAGCCCUCCGGGGCGGUCGUCCCUGAAAUACAGUGGCGGUCACGUCGCGGACCCUCUGCGUAGUAGCAACACCUCGCACUGGAGAGCGGCGCGCCCACGCCCCGAAACACUUCUUUCACAGGUUGACCUCGGAUCAGGUAGGAAUACCCGCUGAACUUAA